GGCUGCAUUACUGGGCAAUUACUCCUUUGGCAGUUGACUGCUUGCUGGCCUUCUGCUGCAUAUAUAUAAAUGUUACGUUGCAGUUUGUAUAUAGAGUGAGAGUAGCUAGCUCACUGCCAAAGGAGAUUUGCCCGGCAAUUCAUCU
rfam:Prunus persica cultivar Lovell chromosome G4, whole genome shotgun sequence.